GAUGAACGCUGGCGGCGUGCCUAAUACAUGCAAGUCGAGCGAACAGACGAGGAGCUUGCUCCUCUGACGUUAGCGGCGGACGGUUGAGUAACACGUGGAUAACCUACCUAUAAGACUGGGAUAACUUCGGGAAACCGGAGCUAAUACCGGAUAAUAUAUUGAACCGCAUGGUUCAAUAGUGAAAGACGGUUUUGCUGUCACUUAUAGAUGGAUCCGCGCCGCAUUAGCUAGUUGGUAAGGUAACGGCUUACCAAGGCAACGAUGCGUAGCCGAACUGAGAGGGUGGUAGGCCACCCUGGAACUGAGACACGCUCCAGACUCCUACGGGACGCAGCAGUAGGGAAUCGUCGGCAAAGGGCGAGAGCCUUACGGAGCAAGGCCGCGUGAGUGAUGAAGGUCUUCCGAUCGUAAAACUCUGUUAUUAGGGAAGAACAAAUGUGUAAGUAACUAUGCACGUCUUGACGGUACCUAAUCAGAAAGCCACGGCUAACUACGUG
rnacentral:rRNA from 1 species